rnacentral:rRNA from 1 species
CACCGCCCGUCACACCCUGGGAAUUGGUUUCGCCCGAAGCAUCGGACCAAUGAUCACCCAUGACUUCUGUGUAUCACUAGUGCCACAAAGGCCUUUAGUGGUCUUAUUGGCGCAUACCACGGUGGGAUCUUCGACUGGGGUGAAGUUGUAACAAGGUAGCAGUAGGGGAACCUACUUG